rnacentral:lncRNA from 1 species
CAGGAGCCGCCCGCCGGGUCAGAAGCUGCCCGGGCAGGAGCCAGCCGCCCGGGCAGGAGCCAGCCGCCCGGGCAGAAGCAGGAGCCGCCCGCCCGGGCAGAAGCAGGAGCCGCCCGCCCGGGCAGAAGCAGGAGCCGCCCGCCGGGGCAGAAGCUGCCCGGGCAGGAGCCAGCCGCCCGGGCAGGAGCCAGCCCCCCGGGCAGAAGCAGGAGCCGCCCGCCCGGGCAGAAGCAGGAGCCGCCCGCCCGGGCAGAAGCAGGAGCCAGCCGCCCGAGCAGAAGCAGGAGCCAGCCGCCCGAGCAGGAGCCAGCCGCCCGGGCAGGAGCCGCCCGCCCGGGCAGAAGCAGGAGCCGCCCGCCGGGGCAGAAGCUGCCCGGGCAGGAGCCAGCCGCCCGGGCAGGAGCCAGCCCCCCGGGCAGAAGCAGGAGCCGCCCGCCCGGGCAGAAGCAGGAGCCGCCCGCCCGGGCAGAAGCAGGAGCCGCCCGCCGUGGCAGAAGCUGCCCGGGCAGGAGCCAGCCGCCCGGGCAGGAGCCAGCCGCCCGGGCAGGAGCAGGAGCCAGCCGCCCGGGCAGAAGCAGGAGCCGCCCGCCCGGGCAGAAGCAGGAGCCGCCCCCCCGGGCAGAAGCAGGAGCCGCCCGCCCGGGCAGAAGCAGGAGCCAGCCGCCCGGGCAGAAGCAGGAGCCAGCCGCCCGAGCAGGAGCCAGCCGCCCGGGCAGGAGCCGCCCGCCGGGGCAGAAGCUGCCCGGGCAGGAGCCAGCCGCCCGGGCAGGAGCCAGCCCCCCGGGCAGAAUCAGGAGCCACCCGCCCGGGCAGAAGCAGGAGCCGCCCGCCCGGGCAGAAGCAGGAGCCGCCCGCCGGGGCAGAAGCCGCCCGGGC